rnacentral:tRNA from 1 species
GCCUUCGUGGUGUAGUGGUCUGCAUGCUCGACACGUAAUCAAGAAGUCCAUGGUUCGAUUCCCGGUGAAGGCG